rnacentral:rRNA from 1 species
GACGAACGCUGGCGGCGUGCCUAAUACAUGCAAGUAGAACGCUGAAGGAGGAGCUUGCUUCUCUGGAUGAGUUGCGAACGGGUGAGUAACGCGUAGGUAACCUGCCUGGUAGCGGGGGAUAACUAUUGGAAACGAUAGCUAAUACCGCAUAAUAGCAGUUGUUGUAUGACAACUGUUUGAAAGGCGCAAUUGCACCACUACCAGAUGGACCUGCGUUGUAUUAGCUAGUUGGUGGGGUAACGGCUCACCAAGGCGACGAUACAUAGCCGACCUGAGAGGGUGAUCGGCCACACUGGGACUGAGACACGGCCCAGACUCCUACGGGAGGCAGCAGUAGGGAAUCUUCGGCAAUGGACGGAAGUCUGACCGAGCAACGCCGCGUGAGUGAAGAAGGGUUUCGGAUCGUAAAGCUCGGUUGUAAGAGAAGAACGAGUGUGAGAGUGGAAAGUUCACACUGUGACGGUAUCUUACCAGAAAGGGACGGCUAACUACGUG